GAUGAACGCUGACAGAAUGCUUAACACAUGCAAGUCGAUGGGGAAGUGGUGCUUGCACCAUGGUAACCAUGGCGGACGGGUGAGUAACGCGUAAGGAACUUGCCUGCGGGACUGGGAUAACAGCAGGAAACUGCUGACAAGACCGGAUAAGGUCAUUAAGCGGCAUGGUUUAAUGAUGAAAGGAGACGCCUGCGGAGAGCCUUGCGUCCUAUUAGCUAGUUGGAGGGGUAACGGCCCACCAAGGCGAAGAUAGGUAGCCGGCCUGAGAGGGUGGACGGCCACAAGGGGACUGAGAUACGGCCCUUACUCCUACGGGAGGCAGCAGUGGGGAAUAUUGGACAAUGGGGGCAACCCUGAUCCAGCAAUUCUGUGUGCACGAAGACGGUUUUCGGAUUGUAAAGUGCUUUCAGCAGGGAAGAAGGAAGUGACGGUACCUGCAGAAGAAGCGACGGCUAAAUACGUGCCAGCAGCCGCGGUAAUACGUAUGUCGCGAGCGUUAUCCGGAAUUAUUGGGCAUAAGGGCAUCUAGGCGGCCUUUCAAGUCAGGGGUGAAAACCUGCGGCUCAACCGCAGGCCUGCCUUUGAAACUGAUAGGCUGGAGUACCGGAGAGGUGGACGGAACUGCACGAGUAGAGGUGAAAUUCGUAGAUAUGUGCAGGAAUGCCGAUGAUGAAGAUAGUUCACUGGACGGUAACUGACGCUGAAGUGCGAAAGCCGGGGGAGCGAACAGG
rnacentral:rRNA from 1 species